GAUGAACGCUGGCGGCGUGCCUAAUACAUGCAAGUCGAGCGAACAGACGAGGAGCUUGCUCCUCUGACGUUAGCGGCGGACGGGCGAGUAACACGUGGAUAACCUACCUAUAAGACUGGGAUAACUUCGGGAAACCGGAGCUAAUACCGGAUAAUAUAUUGAACCGCAUGGUUCAAUAGUGAAAGACGGUUUUGCUGUCACUUAUAGAUGGAUCCGCGCCGCAUUAGCUAGUUGGUAAGGUAACGGCUUACCAAGGCAACGAUGCGUAGCCGACCUGAGAGGGUGAUCGGCCACACUGGAACUGAGACACGGUCCAGACUCCUACGGGAGGCAGCAGUAGGGAAUCUUCCGCAAUGGGCGAAAGCUUGACGGAGCAACGCCGCGUGAGUGAUGAAGGUCUUCGGAUCGUAAAACUCUGUUAUUAGGGAAGAACAAAUGUGUAAGUAACUAUGCACGUCUUGACGGUACCUAAUCAGAAAGCCACGGCUAACUACG
rnacentral:rRNA from 1 species